UUUUUCAUAUCUUGGUGUGUUGACUAGCAACUGCAGUAUAAUGUUAAAUACAGAAGUGGUCAUAGAUGAGUACUAUUAUCUUUCGACUGAUUUUAAAUGGAAUGCUUCUAACAUUUCGUUAAUAAAGAUGUUUACUCUAGGUUUUUGUGAAGUAUCUUUUUAACAAGUAAAGGGAUUUCCUAAGAGUUGGCUAAGAGUUUUAAUCGCGAUUAAAUGUCAAAGUUUUUCAAAUGCCUUUUCUGCAUCUGCUGAGAUGAUCAGAAGGUUUUUCUUUAAUAAUCAGUUAAUAGGUUAUAUUUAUGUAUUCUCUUUAUAUUAAAUGAAUCGACCAUUCCUUGGAUUCCCAAUUUGGUGGUGAUGUAAUUUAUUUUUCCUGUGGCUAGAGUCUUGGAAUAUUCAUGACCUAAGGAGCUAGGGCUAAUUUACCCAUUUUGCAGACAAUAAAUGGAAACUCAGAGAAUACAUAAUGUGCAUUAGACUUAUACUCAGGAGAUCGGAGAAUAAUAAUUCAAACCCAGGUCUGUCUGAUUCUAAGCUAAUGCUCCUUGAGGGCAGAGACCAGGUCUUUCUUCCGUCUCACAUGCCCAGGCUAGUGCUACACUCAUAGUACUCACUUGAGAAUUUGUGCUGAAUGACUAUUGAACAGAAGCUUCAGGACCUUAUAGACCCUUUAAAACAUUCCUUAGCUGGGAAAAAAAUAAUGCUUUCCAUCAAAUUAGUUCACCUUAGGUAUUGGUCAUGAAAUUAUGUGAAAUGUAAAGGAAAAGAUCCAUAUAAAAGUGGGCCUAAAAGAUAAUCCUAGUAGUUCUUCAUCAUUAAAGUGCCUUAAAUACUUUAUCACAUGGAAAUUUAUUUAAAAAUGACCGACAGGGGAUGGAAAAUAAUGAAAUCAAGAUAAAGUUUCUUAACAUGUAGAGUCUCCCCUGGUCAAGAUUUCUACCAGUGUGUGCCUACUCGGGACCAAAGAGAAAUGGAAACCAUCAACAUUUAAGUCUUUGUUAGAGCUUCUUCAUUCCUUCAGUACAAAAAAGGGGUAUUUCCCAGGCAGAAAUGUUAUGGGGAGAUGAGGAACGAGCCUCUCUAUUUAGAAAAGGAAGAGUAGCAUGUAAAGCCUGUGUGAGAGGAGUGACAGGCAGAAAAACCAGGUCACAAAGGCUCUGAAAGGGGAUCCCCAUCCAACCUGCAAGAUCCUGGGAUGGGCUUCACAAGGCAUACACAAGGCAGGAGACUGUCUACAUAAAACUUUUGCCAAAAUAGAAUGAAGGAGUCAACAGUUGUAGCCAAAGUAAUAUUUCACAGCUUGUCGAAAAACAGGCAGCGAAAACUACACUGUGACCUCUUCUGGGAAAAGCAAAAAUAAAGUUGUAUUUCAACCUUAAUUUUCCACCUUGUGGGCAAAAAUAAAAGGGAGGGGAUCCCUGGGUGGCGUAGCGGUUUAGCGCCUGCCUUUGGCCCAGGGCGCGAUCCUGGGGACCCGGGAUCGAAUCCCACGUCGGGCUCCCGGUGCACGGAGCCUGCUUCUCCCUCUGCCUAUGUCUCUGCCUCUCUCUCUCUCUCUCUCUCUCUGUCAUGAAUAAAUAAAUAAAAUAUUUAAAAAAAAAAAAAGAAAGGAGAGGAGAGGAGGAAAUAACAUAAUCAUAAAUAAAAAAUAAAAUUAAAUUAAAAAAACAACCAAAAAAAUAAAAGGGAAAUUACUUCUGAGAAAUACUGCACGUAUUAUAGAAUAAUGAGCCGUCUUAGGCAAGAAGCAAAGCAACCAAUGCGCUUCUCUCUAGAAAAAAAUAAUGCAGUAAUUUUCUUGAAAGGAAACAUUAAAAAAUGCUUUAUCAAAAAGGAGAUAGAAUAAGAUACACCACGGGCCAUCUAAGAAUGCCCCAUUUACCUAUAUUAAAAAGACAGUGUGACACUUAGGAAUAAACUGGAAGUUUAGUUUUGGAGGCUGAUCUGAUUCACAUGUGGCUCCUUCACUGCCUCAUGGCCUUCUCAAUUUGAUGUCAUUUCACAUCAGUUUCCUUCCUCCCUCCCACUCUCCUUUUUGUGUUUUGGAUAUUGAUGCAUUGAACAAAACGACAAAUUUUUCUGUAAAACCAGCUAUGAAGAUGGUUCCAAGCACUACUACCUUGUAAGACUGGCUUCUAAUUGCAUAGCUAUGGCCCCUCUACAUCUAUGUCUUGGAAGAAUUUUAAGAUGGCUCCCAAGAUUCCUGUCCCCUGGUGUAUAUGUCCUGUAUAUGUCCCCUCACCACUUGAGUGUGAGAGGAACCUGUAAAUAUAAAUGGGAUAUCAGUCCUAUAAUUAUAUUAUGUUGUAUGGCAAGGAGAUCUGUAGAUAUAAUGGAGACCUUAAUUAGUUGACUUUGAGUUAAUUCAAAAGAGAGAUUGUCCUACGGUGGGCCUGACCUAACCAGUGGAGCCCUUAAAAGAGACCAGAGAGAAAUGAAGUCGGAGAGAUUUCUCCUGCUGACCCAAAGAAGCAAACAACUGUGCUGCAAUCUGCUUGUAGGAGAUGCUGGGUAGCAAAGAAUCUGAGUGUGACUCCUAGGAAUUGAGAGUUGUCCUGGAUCAAUGGCAGGCAAGAAACUAGGGACUUUACUUCAAUAACCAGAAGGAACUGAAUUUACCCAACAACCAGUGAGACCAUAAGAGGAAACUAUGCUUCAGACACCACUGAGCCCCUGUGGCCACUUUGAUUUCAGCCUAGUGAGACCCUGAGUAUAACACCCAGCUAACCCAUACCCAGACUUCUGAUGCAUGGGAACUAUGGGUAAUAAAUAUAGAUUGUUUUAAGCCACUAAGUUUGCGGUAAUUUUUCACACGGCAAUAUAAAAUUAAUAAAUCUACCCUCGAACCUUAAAGUUUGAUGACAGUAUCCUUCAUCUGAGGCUUUGAGGUAUGGUAAGGAUUUAUUAGGUCAUGUGGGAAGAAAAGUUAAUGAGCUCCUCCAUAAUCUGGAGAAAGGUAGCUCUAUUGGUUUCUUUUAAAAAGAUUUAUUUAUUUACUGUUGGGGGCCAGGCAGUAGGGCAGAGAAGAGGGAGAAAGAGAAUUCCUGCUGGGCACAGAGCCUGACAUGGGACUCAAUCCCACAAUCCUGAGAUCAUGACCUAAACUUUAAUCAAGAGUUGGUCACUUAAAAAAAAAGAGUUGGUCACUUAACUGACUGAACCACCCAGGUGCCCUGCUCUAUUGUUUUAAUUGAGAGCAUGUGAUAGUUAUUCAUGCUGGUCACCAAGUGUUUCCAGCUCUCCUUUACUCCAGAACCAUGGUAGCUCUGUACUGUCAGUCCUCUCUAGUGCAAUCCUUGUUGGAUGGACUAGGAGCAUCAUAUUGGUCCGUGUGUAUCACUUCUGGGCCAGGUCACUUGAUUCCUGCAGGACUUUCCAGAGUGCUCUUUCCCACUGCUCCAGGGCACAGCAAUGCUCCUAACAGCCUGGGUCCUAAAGUGAGAUUAUGUGGGGCAGAGCUUAUUGUGCUGACCAAUAUUUUUACCUCUAGAGUUAUUUUAAGACACUACAACUUUACAGCUGUGUUACUGCAGUGUAUUUUAGCCUAUCUACUAGCUAAAUAUGGGAGCUACUGCACCAUGCACCCAAAAGGAACAGCCAGAGACACACACAUGAAAAGAUGAGAGAGAGAAGGACACACACUUCUUAAAAUGUUUAUAUACCAGUACUUCCACUGGUCAUUGUGAAACAAACAAACAAAUGAACCAAAACAGAACACCUUAAGUUAUGUUAAAGAUAAAACUCAGUUUUUUUUUUUGCCAGAAAAAAAUGGGUUUAUUUGGGAAGAGCAGAGAAUUGCCAUUUGGAACUUCUAAGCCAUGUCAAAAACACAGGCAACUCAAGAGAACAAAGGAGAGGAACACUCUUAUAGAGGAAAGGGAGGAGCUGGAAGGAGGUCUUAGAAACAAAAAGUCCAUUGGAGUAAACUAGGAGUUUGAAGUGUGGUGGCUUUUCACUGGCUGAGACAUGGCAAUCACUCAUUGGCUGGGCUGUUGCUGGGCAAGGAGAAAACCUUUCUCUGCAGGCUAGUAAAAAGUAGUAUUCCCUUGGUUUUGGAAGGUGCUGCUCUUCCUGUUGGUUCUGCAUUUGAUAAGGAGUGGUAGGGCAUGCGAGCUCCCCCUUCUGGCCUCCUGACUCCAUUUUAAUGAGGUUUCCCUUUCAUAAUGCAAAGAAAAAACAUGGGAACACCAAUCAUUACUCAUCUAUAUUGAUUCUCACUGAGGAUCACAGGCUCUGUUAACAUCUGAGAAGACCAGAACCAAUGGAGGGGCUGGCUCUUCACUCCAGGAAGAAAAGUUGGGGGAGCUCUUCUUGGACAACUCUUCUUAGGACAAAUGUCAUCAUCAGUCUUUGGGAUCUCCAUGUUCUCUUAAUUUUGACAACUUAGGGGGCAGAGCCUUUAGAUGUUGCUGUGCAAGACUGUCAAAAUAAUUUAGAAGGAGUGUGUCUAUCUAGCAGAAACAAACAACACAAACACAAGUCUGAUGAAAAAAAAUGUGCCAUCAUAAGAGAAAAAAAGAGAUGACCAAUAACAUUCUUUUUAAAAGGAUAAGUAACAGCAUCAGAUUUAUAGGAAGGUGUGUAUUAAAUAAUCAGUCUGAUCAAUUUUAAGGUCUUUAUGAAAACAGUUUGGAUGGUUCCUGUGACAAAUACUAAACCUAAAUCUUAAAGAUAGAGAUUCUGGUAAAAUGUUCUUUGGGAAAUUAGAAAUUCCAUUCUAGCAGAUUUGGAUUUUGAAGAUAAAAAUACCACUGGCUCUGUGAGUAGUGGGAUACUUAAAGGAGGAAUGAAUAAAUUAAGCUAAUCCUAUGUAUAUCUUUGUUAGAGUGACAUCAAUAAUGUAUAGCCAAGGAAAUGGAUUGAGGAGUGAAAGAGAUCUCCUGACCUCAACAUCCAGUGCCUCUUGGCCAGUGAUUAUAGAAGUGACUAGAUUAUACUUCUCAGAGAGUAAAAUUUCAUCAAAAACACACACCACCAAUAACUACAGCUGGACACUAUUACUUGUAGAACAUUUUUCAAUUUGAAUAUAUUAGCUGUGUCUACAUAGUAAGAGAAAAUGGAAUUCUGAGGCAAUAACUUGGCAAUUUGGGCCAUAAGCUUAUAUUUACAAUGAAAACAUAAAGUAACUAUGAAAAAACAGGUUGCUCAAUUGAAUCACCUAAGGUAAUUGCUUCAAUUCCCUAUCUGACCUUUUUUCAUAUACCCGUAGUCACAGCUUUGGGGGGAGAUAUGGAUAUUGUGGGUACCUGAUUGUUCGACUUACAUGCCAUGGGACACAGUCCUAGUGAUAGUCCAAAAGCUAUUCUAGCUGCAAAAUACUUGCCGCUAGUCAUAUGCUCUUCUCACUCCAAAGCUAGCUGAUAUUACCAGCAUAUGGCUUCCAUAGGCAAGCUGGUUGCUAUAUUUUUCGGGUUCUAUCUAUAUUUCCCUGGACCUGUGCAAUGAAGUCAUCUGGAUGAGGAGAACAAAAUGCAGCAUUCUUUAAAGAAAUGUCAUUCUGCUCUCACACAUUCUCUUCUCACAACGGUUUAGGGUACAUUUAAAUAUAAAUCAAUGCAUCAGACUUAACCAAUGAAAGAUUUUAUUGCCAAAGUGAUGUGAAAAUAGGCAUGUGAUGACCUUUCGUUUUCCACCCGAAAUUGUAAAAAGUUAACACAAAAGAGGUAGUAGUUUGGGUCCUUCAAAAGGAUCACUUCCUUCUAGAACCAGAAUCCUCCCCUGGUUUUUCAGCUUUUCUUCUAAAUAGAAAUGCUGACGCUUUAUUAGUUAAUCAAUAAGACAUGAUACAGAGUAUGGUUAUCAUAAAAUAAUCAUACCCUGGAGCAUUUUGAGGCAUGAGCCACUUGCCUCUAAUCAGAUUGGGUUGAGAUUACCUCUGGAUAACCACACUCUUGGGAACUGUCUCAUUUCUAUUAUAAGUACAUUUUAUAAUAGGGAGAAAUGUACAUUUCUGUGGGGGGAAAAUGAAGUUGGCAGCUUCUACCUAGCAAUCAUUUCAGUUGAGCCGAGAAACAUUCCUCUUUUUUGAACUAAGUCAAACUAUGCUUCGUCUAUUCAAGUAAUGUCAGAGAAAAGAGGCAGCUCACAUGCAGUGUGGGUAAUGCAAUACAAUGGAAACUGUAUUUUACUUUGGCAUUGCAAGCUUCAAAUUAUAUGCAAACAUUAAAAAGGGCAUUUGAAACUUGGCAUGCAUGUUUAUAAAUGGUACGUUUUGAAUCUGGAGUGGGUUUAGGUGUCUAGGUUACAAUAACAGAUGAUCUCCAAUGUAAAAAUGGAACAAAGCCUUUCUUUAACUUCCUACAGAGAAAGAUGUUCAUUUCUGCUUCAAUUAUAAUCCCAGGCACACUGGAGAUUCCGUUAAGAGCAAUUUCCCUCUAUUUCUCCUUAUCCCGACCAGCCAAAAAUUUUAAUCAAAUUACAUAUAUUGUAAAGUUAAAGACAGAAAAACCCAGUGAGCCAUGAAAUACACUUUACAACAGUGUGUAUAGCACUUACCCUAUUGGUUUAGAAUGAUGGAAAAAUCCAUUUAAAAUGUUGAACACAGUGGGCUGCAGAGAUGAUUAUAAACUCUUAGAGCUGUAGGUUUUAAUCCCAUCUUUUUAUGAAUAGUAUUUA
rnacentral:lncRNA from 1 species